rnacentral:ribozyme from 16 species
ACGGUGUAUAUACGAGUAGACGAAGACUGAUAUCUUCUUGUUUCUUUUUUUUAAGCAAAAAAAAGUUAAAAAAAAAAGUUAAAAUAGCGGUCUUAAUUGUUCAU